CAGUCGACGGUGACCGGGGAGCUUGCUCCUUGUGAACAGUGGCGAACGGGUGAGUAACACGUGAGUAACCUGCCCCUGACUCUGGAAUAAGCGCUGGAAACGGCGUCUAAUACCGGAUAUGACAUCAAACCGCAUGGUUAUGGUGUGGAAAGUUUUUCGGUCUGGGAUGGACUCGCGGCCUAUCAGCUUGUUGGUGAGGUAAUGGCUCACCAAGGCGAUGACGGGUAGCCGGCCUGAGAGGGCGAUCGGCCACACUGGGACUGAGACACGGCCCAGACUCCUACGGGAGGCAGCAGUGGGGAAUAUUGCACAAUGGGCGAAAGCCUGAUGCAGCGACGCCGCGUGAGGGAUGACGGCCUUCGGGUUGUAAACCUCUUUCAGCAGGGAAGAAGCGCAAGUGACGGUACCUGCAGAAGAAGCACCGGCUAACUACGUGCCAGCAGCCGCGGUAAUACGUAGGGUGCGAGCGUUGUCCGGAAUUAUUGGGCGUAAAGAGCUUGUAGGCGGUUUGUCGCGUCUGCUGUGAAAAUCCGGGGCUCAACCCCGGACUUGCAGUGGGUACGGGCAGACUAGAGUGUGGUAGGGGAGACUGGAAUUCCUGGUGUAGCGGUGAAAUGCGCAGAUAUCAGGAGGAACACCGAUGGCGAAGGCAGGUCUCUGGGCCACUACUGACGCUGAGAAGCGAAAGCAUGGGGAGCGAACAGGAUUAGAUACCCUGGU
rnacentral:rRNA from 1 species